rnacentral:rRNA from 1 species
UUUGAGGAAGUAAAAGUCGUAACAAGGUCUCCGUAGGUGAACCUGCGGAGGGAUCAUU